AGAGGCCCUGCGGGGGGAAGAAGGUGAGGGAUGUUUUAACUGGAUAGCAGUACUGUCUGGGUUUAGAGACUCCACAGAAGACCCGAGUGACGGACGAGAGUCGAGUUGGACCUUCCGGUCGGGAAUCACGCUUUUUUGAAGGCAAUUGGUUGGAGUCGAAAUCGCAGACGCAAGAUAAGCAAGACUCCACAGAAGACCCGAGUGACGGACGAGAGUCGAGUUGGACCUUCCGGUCGGGAAUCACGCUUUUUUGAAGGCAAUUGGUUGGAGUCGAAAUCGCAGACGCAAGAUAAGCAAGACUCCACAGAAGACCCGAGUGACGGACGAGAGUCGAGUUGGACCUUCCGGUCGGGAAUCACGCUUUUUUGAAGGCAAUUGGUUGGAGUCGAAAUCGCAGACGCAAGAUAAGCAUGCGUGCUGCAACCAAACAAUUUCUGAUGCUCGUGGUGAUUAUUGAACCAAGCUUAGUGGAGAAAGAAGCACCGAA